UAAAAAAUUUCUGUAAAUUUACAUGGAAAUUCAACAGCAAAAUGCUGUUUUCAUGUAAUAACAGUAAGUUGCUGUUUUUUACAGUGCAUUGUGGGUAGACUUUCUCACUUCAGGUCGGUUGUCGAGCAACAACAGAAUGUCACUGUUAUUUAACAGUAUUAUAGCAUAUUUUUCGUUGUGCACACCAUUUUGGAUUGUCUGCAUGAGGUAGGUCUGCAACUUUACCGAUGCUUGUGCUAUUUUAAAAUUACAUAUUACUUUUAAAUAUUGCAUUUUAUUCAGUAAAGCUUUUAAAAAAAUAAAUCAGAUUCCAUUUCCUAUUUUAAUCAGGCAAAGCAGGUACUCUACCAUCACAUCAGUUACACUCACAUCAGAUCACAGGUAUAUUUUGGUGCUUUGGUGCUAUUUUGGUCCCUAUUCCCUUUUCGUGCAUUGUAUAGACCAACAAAUAUUACAGAUUAAGGUGAGUAAAAGGUGAGAGAGUAUCAUUUUUUAUAACCAUUCAUGUUGUGAGUAAAAUGUCUUUGUUGCCUCUGUAAAAUAUGAAGUCUUUUUGCAGAUGUUAAUUAUCAUAAAUUGUUAUCUUUGCUAAUAGAUGUGUGCCACUCCUGCUGACUUUGAGAAGACUUGUGACACCUCGUUUGAUCCUGUUUGGUAAAUAUAUGAAAUUUGACAUUUUUUACUAAACAAGGCCCACACUCCAGGCUGACACAACCUUUUACUAUCUUUCUUUCUUUCUUAUUCUUUAUGCCAUUCCAGCAUCUUUGGCUAUAUUCAUGGUGAGAACUGGUUAAUCCAUACACAAGUUUUUAGUCACACAAGUCAAUCCAGACACUGGUUGGGGUAGAGACAAUUUGGCAUCUAUGGGUACCCAGAGUAAACCCACGCUGACACAGGGAGAACAUGCAAACUCCACAAAAAAAGGCCACCUGACCUAGCCGGGGCUCGAACCGGGGACCUUCUUGCUGUGCCUUUUACUAUCAGGAGAACAUCAAGCUUUAUGUGCCUCAUUCUGGAGGCCACUGUAUUUGAGAACACUGAAACUGAGAACACUUUUAAUAUCAGACUUUACACGGACACUAAAUGAAUUUGUGAUUUUCAGUUUACCUUUAGAAACAUUAGUGGCCCUCAAUUACUAUACAUUUAAUUGUAUCAUGACAAUGGCCUCUGAAAAUAACAUACUGUUAGGUUGAAGGACAUGGCACUUUGUGUCUUUGCCAGUGCUUGCAUAUUCUUCUCACUGCCUUUUCUACACUUAGCUCUCCAGAUAUUAAGGAUUAUACAUUAAUCUAUACAUUCAUUUGGUCCAGGUGAUUCUCAGGGACAAUGGAUUAAACAAUGGAUGAUCAGCCUGAAAGCCAAAAGGGUGUUCAGCCAACGUGUCUCACUGGACUUGCUGCAUUGUUUUCUUUGUAUUACAUCUUCAUCUUGCAAAAAGUGAAAGCAGCAUCCACACUGGAAGUCCUUCAAAGAUGCUUCAUUAAAAUCAAACCGGGAAACAAGGGUGCAAAGGGAAAAGUGACCUCUAAAACAGGAAAACUGCAAAAGAAGACCAUCAACAGUCAGUCUCAAAAUAUCAAAUCUUUUAAAAAAGACUUUUGGACUUUGAGUGGUACUUCAUUUAAAAUGUAGCUGACACUUCCCACCAAUACAGUUUUUUUUAAAUAUGGUGGGCUGCAGUGAUGGCAGGUGACUUCUCCGAGGAGGCACGAAUACAAAGCUACCCAAAACAUUGUCAUGUGUGUGGCUCGUCACUUCAAAAUGUGUGUUUGGCGCGUCAUGUGAACCUGUGCAUAGCGUGUCAUGUCAAAAUACGUGCCUGCUCCAGACACUUUGAAGGGGAUUAUAAUAAAAGAGAUGCUCGCUUUUGCCAUACUAGCUUGUCUAAUCUCAUGUGUAAUCAGAGUUUAGUGUUAAAUGAGUGUCUUGCGGGUAUCAUGUGAAUGUCUCUUUUAUUCUUUAUCAUAUUCAAAGCGUUUGCGGGAGGCACGUAUUUUGACAUGAUGUGCAAUGCAUAUAGAUUCACGAAUCACAUUACACCCCAAACACAUAUUUUGCAUCCUGGCCACCACUGGUGGGUGGUGUUUUUUUAUACUGGUUUGUAUAUUAUAGACCAUGUUUUCAUAUUUAAAAUUGGGCUGGUGUCUGUUAAAGAAUAAGCAAAUUAAUGUUUUAUUGAAUCCUUUUAAAAAUGUGCUGUUUUUACAGUUGUGAAACUUUUGUGCUUUUUUUGAAAUCUAAAUUUUAAACUACAUUUGUAUUUUAAGUAAAGAUAAGGCAUCUCAAUAUUGUUCUUUGUUUGUUUGAUUUUUUUGUAUUUUAGUAUGUUAUUGGUGCGUUUUUGUUGCACCACAGUUUAUGCACUGAAUAUUAAAAUAUAUCUGCUUGUAUUUCUGCCUGUUUUAUGGCAUAACAAACAUAGCAUAACAGUCAAUCUGGUGUUGAAUAGAAUAAAGAAUAAAAAAUUCAUAACCUGGC